rnacentral:tRNA from 1 species
ACGUCCGUAGCUCAAUUGGUAGAGCAACGGAUUCCAAAUCCGUAGGUUGGGGGUUCGAUUCCCUCCGGGCGUGCCA